AGGAGACUUCCGAUGGCUUUGGGGACAGCAAGAAACACAGGUUAGUUCACAGACCCAGCCAUUGGAGACCCAGGAGAGCAGAAGGAAAGUCUUCCCUCCCCUAUGGUUUCCGGCAACGGGGAUGAGAUCUCAUUGGCUGGAACGUUCUGCCCACUCUGGAGGCAGCAAAAGAUCUCUUGCCACUCAACUGCUAACCUGAAUCUUCUCGCCACAGCCAACCA